GAUCCUGGCUCAGGAUGAACGCUAGCGGCAGGCUUAACACAUGCAAGUCGAGGGGCAGCAUAAUGGAUAGCAAUAUCUAUGGUGGCGACCGGCGCACGGGUGCGUAACGCGUAUGCAACCUACCUUUAAACAGGGGGGAUAACACUGAGAAAUUGGGUACUAAUACCCCAUAAUAUCAUAGAAGGCAUCUUUANGGUUGAAAAUUCCGAUGGUUAGAGAUGGGCAUGCGUUGAUUAG
rnacentral:rRNA from 1 species